rnacentral:rRNA from 1 species
UACGUAGGGUGCAAGCGUUAAUCUGAAUUACUGGGCGUAAAGCGUGCGCAGGCGGCUUUGCAAGACAGAUGUGAAAUCCCCGGGCUUAACCUGGGAACUGCAUUUGUGACUGCAUGGCUGGAGUGCGGCAGAGGGGGAUGGAAUUCCGCGUGUAGCAGUGAAAUGCGUAGAUAUGCGGAGGAACACCGAUGGCGAAGGCAAUCCCCUGGGCCUGCACUGACGCUCAUGCACGAAAGCGUGGGGAGCAAACAGG